AUGAUCUGGACUUUGGGAAUGGCAAGGAUUCGAAGAGUGGGCUCAGCCCAGAGCCCAAAGCGACAGAUGGCCCUUGGCUGUCCCCAGAACAGCUGCAGGAUUCUCUGUCCCCCGCCUUCCAGAGUUUGCAUGGUGCAGGGAUACUGUUCUGCCCUUGGAAGGAUACGUAUACAGAAGCCCUCAAAGAAGUUCCAGGAAGCACCCCAAACUUUCUUCCAUUGCAGACUGUCUACCAGGUCUCAGGUGCCCCCAGCCUCACCACCAGCCCAUGAAAUGUCAUUGCCCUCGGGAUACGGAUGAGCAAACGGAGACCCAGAGACCAUCUGUAACGUGUUCUUGAACAAACCCUAGCAGAAAGAAAGACUCCCCCUUCAAACAGAGCAAAUUCCUUGCAUCCAAGUUUAUUGACAAGCAAAAUUCACCUUAAGGAGCCUGCUCUGAACAUUCUCAAUGAGCAACAAACUGUAAUGACAACAUCUUGCGGGAAAGAGACUUAAGACAGCAGAAUAUAAAACUCUCGUCAUGCUUUGGAGAAUUUUUGAAAGAAAGAACUGGUACCGUGACAGAUUGAAUUUGUCCUCCAAAAGGGACAUGCUCCAACCCCAGCACCUCAGAAGGUGACCUCAUUUGGAAAUAGGAUCUUUGCCGAGGUAAUCAAGUUGACAUUACAGAGUGGCCUGUAAUCCAGCACGACUGGUGUUGUUGGGCAAGUGUAGAGACAGAGACCGACAUGCACGCGGGGAAGACCCUGUGAGCAUAAGCAGGGAGAAGCUGAUGCUGCCUCCACACGCCAAGGAGCUCCAGCGACGGCUGGACAACACGGAAGCUUGGCAGUGAUGAGGAGGGAUUCCCCUCCAGGCCUUAGAAGGAGCACACUCCACUGCCCCUGUGACCUUCAACCUGUAACCUGUACAACUAGGAGAUAAAAAAUGUCCAGGGCAGGUGUCUGGCAGAGCAGUGAAGAUGCUCCUUGGGAUGUGUGCACAGCUUAGCAACGUGCUGGGGUUCGAGCUCUGACUCUGCUUCCAAUUCCAGCAUCCUGCCGGUGUGCAUCCUGUGCUCCCGGACUUGGGCCCUGCCACCCAUGUGGGAGAUCUGGGCUGAGUUUCAGGCUUUGCCCUGUCCUAGUCCCCCCUGUUACAGGUAUCUGGGGGAAUGAACCAACAGAUGGAAAAAUCUCUGCUUUUCAAAUACAGUUAAAAUAAAUAAUGUACAUUUCUGGACCA
rnacentral:lncRNA from 1 species